AGAUGGAUAGCUCAGUUGGUAGAACACGAGACUCUUAAUCUCAGGGUCCUGGGUUCGAGCCCCCUGUUGGGUGA